UACAGAGAGUGCGAACGUUGUUCGGAAUUACUGGGCUUAAAGCGCACGUAGGCGGCAUCGUAAGUGUCCGGUGAAAUCCCACGGCUCACCCGUGGAACUGCCUGGCAGACUGCGAUGCUCGAGUGUGGUAGGGGAGAGCGGAACUCCUGGUGGAGCGGUGAAAUGCGUAGAUAUCAGGAGGAACACCGAUGGCGAAGGCAGGCCUCUGGGCUGACACUGACGCUCAUGCACGAAAGCGUGGGGAGCAAACAGG
rnacentral:rRNA from 1 species